AGUUCGAUUCUCUGGCUCAGAUUGAACGCUGGCGGGAUGCUUUACACAUGCAAGUCGAACGGCAGCACGGACUUCGGUCUGGUGGCGAGUGGCGAACGGGUGAGUAAUGUAUCGGAACGUGCCUAGUAGCGGGGGAUAACUACGCGAAAGCGUAGCCAAUACCGCAUACGACCGCAAAGCGGGGAUCUUCGGGGCCUCGCACUAUUAGAGCGGCCGAUAUCGGAUUAGCUAGUUGGUGGGGUAACGGCUCACCAAGGCGACGAUCCGUAGCUGGUUUGAGAGGACGACCAGCCACACCUGGGACUGAGACACGGCCCAGACUCCUACGGGAGGCAGCAGUGGGGAAUUUUGACAAUGGGGGAAACCCUGAUCCAGCCAUCCCGCGUGUGCGAUGAAGGCCUUCGGGUUGUAAAGCACUUUUGGCAGGAAAGAAACGGCACGGAUAAUACCCCGUGCAACUGACGGUACCUGCAGAAUAAGCACCGGCUAACCGACGGCAACGGCGCAGCCGCGGUAAUACGUAGGUGCAAGCGUUAAUCGGAAUUACUGGGCGCAAGCGUGCGCAGGCGGUUCGGAAAGAAAGAUGUGAAAUCCCAGAGCUUAACUUUGGAACUGCAUUUUUAACUACCGAGCUAGAGUGUGUCAGAGGGAGGUGGAAUUCCGCGUGUAGCAGUGAAAUGCGUAGAUAUGGAGAAACCGCUGAUGGCGAAGGCAGCCUCCUGGGGAUAACACUGACGCUCAUGCACGAAAAGCGUGUGAGCAAACAGGAUUAGAUACCCUGGUAGUCCACGCCCUAAACGAUGUCACUAUUGUUGGGGCUCUCGGGUCGAGUGGUGCUAACGCGUGAAGCUGGACCGCCUGGGGAGUACGGUCGCAAGAUUAAAACUCAAAGGAAUUGACGGGACCUGCACUGAAGCGGUGGAUGAUGUGGAUUAAUUCGAUGCAACGCGAAAAACUUACCUACCCUUUUUGACAUGUCUGGAAUCCCGAAGAGAUUCGGUGUGGGCGCUCGCAAGAGAACCGGAACACAGGUGCUGCAUGGCUGUCGUCAGUUCAAACAGAGAGUUGGGUUAAGUCCCGCAACGAGCGCAACCCUUGUCAUUAUUGCUACGAAAGGGCACUCUAACAGACUGCCGGUGACAAACCGGAGGAAGGUGGGGAUGACGCCAAGUCCUCAUGGCCCUUAUGGGUAGGGCUUUCACACGUCAUACAAUGGUCGGGACAGAGGGUCGCCAACCCGCGAGGGGGAGCCAAUCCCAGAAACCCGAUCGUAGUCCGGAUCGCAGUCUGCAACUCGACUGCGUGAAGUCGGAAUCGCUAGUAAUCGCGGAUCAGCAUGUCGCGGUGAAUACGUUCCCGGGUCUUGUACACACCGCCCGUCACACCAUGGGAGGUUACCAGAAGUAGUUAGCCUAACUGUAAGGAGGGCGAUUACCAUGGUAGGAUUCAUGACUGGGGUGAAGUCGUAACAAGGUAA
rnacentral:rRNA from 1 species